rnacentral:rRNA from 1 species
AACGAACGCUGGCGGCGCGCCUAAUACAUGCAAGUCGAGCGAGAAGACGUAGCAAUACGUUUGUAAAGCGGCGAACGGGUGAGGAAUACAUGGGUAACCUACCCUCGAGUGGGGAAUAACUAGACCGAAAGGUUAGCUAAUACCGCAUACGCUUCCCGGACUGCGGUUCGGGAAAGAAAGCGAUACCGUGGGUAUCGCGCUCUUGGAUGGGCUCAUGUCCUAUCAGCUUGUUGGUGAGGUAAUGGCUCACCAAGGCUUCGACGGGGUAGCUGGUCUGAGAGGACGAUCAGCCACACUGGCACUGCGACAC